rnacentral:ncRNA from 1 species
CUCUUAUCCAGAGAGGUGAAGGGACAGGCCCGUUGAUACCUCGGCAACCAUCUCAUAUAGAAAAGGUGCCAAUUCCUGCAAGAUGAGAG